UACAGUGGGGGCAAGCGUUAUUCGGAAUUAUUGGGCGUAAAGGGCGCGUAGGCGGCUUGGCAAGUGGAAGGUGAAAUCCCUCGGCUUAACCGAGGAACUGCCCUCCAAACUGCUUCGCUUGAGACCGGGAGAGGUGAGUGGAAUUCCCAGUGUAGCGGUGAAAUGCGUAGAUAUUGGGAGGAACACCAGUGGCGAAGGCGGCUCACUGGACCGGUACUGACGCUGAUGCGCGAAAGCGUGGGGAGCAAACGGG
rnacentral:rRNA from 1 species